rnacentral:rRNA from 1 species
GACGAACGCUGGCGGCGUGCUUAACACAUGCAAGUCGAACAGAAAGGCCCUGCUUUUGUGGGUUGCUCGAGUGGCGAACGGGUGAGUAACACAUGAGUAACCUGCCCUUGACUUUGGGAUAACUUCAGGAAACUGGGGCUAAUACCGGAUAGGAGCUCCUGCUGCAUGGUGGGGGUUGGAAAGUUUCGGCGGUUGGGGAUGGACUCGCGGCUUAUCAGCUUGUUGGUGGGGUAGUGGCUUACCAAGGCUUUGACGGGUAGCCGGCCUGAGAGGGUGAACGGCGACAAUGGGACUGAGAUACGGCGCAGACUCGUACCGGAGGCAGCAGUGGGGAAUAUUGCACAAUGGGCGGAAGCCUGAUGCAGCAACGCCGCGUGCGGGAUGACGGCCUACGGGUUGUAAACCGCUUUGGCCUGAGACGAAGCGUGAGUGACGGUAAUGGGUAAAGAAGCACCGGCUAACUACGUG